GUUUUACUUCAGAAGCUGUACGCACUGUGGAAAUCAGCUUGUCCUAACUCCACAACUGACCCCUGGAGACUAAAGCCUUCCAUCUAUGAGACGGGAAGCUUACUUUCACUUUCACAGCCUUGUUGCACUUGUUUAGACAUUCUGGAACUCUCUGGAGCUUGUCUUUAUUAUUUAACACUGCACAACUGCCCCUGAAACAAUCACCCAGCACAAAUAAAGUCACUAUGCGUCACAUCCACGUGGAACUGGCUCGUAAAGAGCCAGCCGUUGAGCUUCCAGCCCAGGACGGGGAUCUACCUCUGCCUAGCGCUCGGAGCGAGAGCCCUGAAUCUGAAAUACGGCAAGUCGUUUCCAGACCUUUUGGAGAAGAAGAGAUCAGGCUACAAAAGGUCUACCAGCUAUCCAUCCUCUCCCAAAGAGGUGGUUUUGGUGAAAAUCAAGAGUCUCUUCGGCCUAUUCGAGUAGGUAUGAAACGUAGCCUGGAGGGGACAUCGGUACCUGUCACUCACAAGCGUCUUUUCCAACAGGAUGAGGAUGACGAUGAUGAUGAGUCCAAUGGGAAGGUGCUAUGUGGGUCUGGGGUGGAACCGCUUUUUUCCAACUCGCUCCUUGAGCACAGAGACUCAGAAAUCCCUAGGUCGCCUCCCCUUUCCCCUUCGCAUCUACUGAUUCCUGGUCGCCGUCCAGCCCAGCACAACCAUGACAGACCCAUCCCAGAUGCCUUCGCCCCGCUGUCCCCAAAAUCUCCCCCUAUGGUGGAUCCACAGGGCCCUCACUCCACCUGGGGCCACUGUGAAGGGAGUCUUCCUACCCUUACUCCCAGAACCGAGGCCUCCACAGCAGGAAAUGUCCUGGCUGGCUCCAGCGAAGGACCACGGGACGAAGGCCAUAACUCUGUCGACAUCAAGGUCAUGUUGUGCCCCACAGAGAGUUGGGCACCUGUCCCAUUUUCAACACCAGCUGAAGCUGUUGAAUGGCGGGAAACUUUUGAAUCUUCUCCUCCACCAUCAGAGAUGAAGACCUCCUCCUCCUCUAACGGACUGAGCUCUCUUGAGAAAACACCAGUGGAAGCAAAUGGCCUGACAUCAGGAUCACCCAAUUCCUGCCCAGUGAAGAAAAGACUUCUCUCCUCCAGUGAUACAGGAGAGUCCUGCUCAGAAGAUGAGGGUCCAUCUACAUCAAAACGAAGUCGAUUAGCAAUGCUGGCACCGGGGCUCGGAUUAGCAUCCUGUCGCAGCACUGAUGCCAAGGGUGCACCCUUCUGGAACCAUCUACUACCCUCAGCAAGGGAGCACACCAAGACUGCUACAGUAUCAGGGAGAAGGCUCAAAGUGGGGAGUCGACUCAAAUCUCGACAGUUACGCAGUGGACGCCGAACAGACACCAGUCGCUCCUGUAGUUCAAUUUCCUCUUUAUCCUCCAUUAGCAGACCUCUUCUUGGCAACUUUGAGGAGUCGAUUCUGAAGGGUCGCUUUACUCCAUCUGGGCAGAUAGAGGGCUUUACAGCAGAGAUCGGUGCUAGCGGCUCAUAUUGCCCGCAGCAUGCCACCUUACCUGUGCAAGUGACGUAUUAUGACACCUCCGAGCACAGCGCCCCUUCUCCCUUCCUGGGGGUGAUCUUGCUAGAACCACUUGGGAAAAAAGGAUACAGCGUACCCAAAGCAGGGACCAUUCAAGUGACCUUAUUUAACCCUAAUAAGACUGUGGUUAAAAUGUUUUUGGUGACGUAUAAUUUUGGGGACAUGCCCGUUAAUCACAUGACCUUCUUGCGCCAUCGUAUCUUCCUGGUGCCUGUUGAUGAGGCGGAGGGGUCAAGGGAGGGGCAGGAGGGCUCCUUGUCUGACAGGAAGAAGAUUCUCUGCUACUUGAUACACCUCAGAUUCCAGAGUUCCAAAUCUGGGAAAAUCUACUUGCACAAUGAUAUCCGGCUGCUAUUCUCCCGCAAGUCCAUCGAGGUGGACACUGGGAUUCCUUACGAGCUGAAAUCUUUCACCGAGGUGCCAAGAAACCCCAAAUACUCCCCCAGAGUGUGAGAUCGUCAUGCCCUGCUGCAGUGGGGCAGAAGGACUCAAUUAAUUAAGAUUGCAAGACAAGAGAUCCCUAUACACUUGAACGCAUACACACUUGCACUCAUACAUGCAUACGCAGACAAGAUGUAUGUACAUGCACACAGAUAUCACACUCUCGAGGGCAAACUCUAGAACUGAGUGUGUAACAUGCAUGCCUUGUGACUAAAUUGAGUUUUCCUCUAGUGCCGUUAAACAGUUAAGCUUUGCCCUUCACUCUGUCUGCACCUGCCUACUGUGGACCAGUUGUAACCAUGCCUACCAACCCGAUCUAUUCUAAAAUGUUGGUGACCAUCAGUAGAUACAGACUUCCUCGAUUAAUGAGGACUUAUUGGACGUACAAAGAGGUGUUGAAUGAGACCAACAGAAAUGUAUGGAGGCGAAGCAAAUGGAAAAAGAGACUUCUGAGGCCCAGAUUGGAGUUUCAACAAUGGACACCACCUGUAUACACACUUGCCCAUUGGAAGGGCUAAUAAAGUUCUAGAAAGAAAGACACCAACAGAACAGAGGACUGAAAGUACAUCCAUUUAGUAUCUGCAUUGUGUUCUUAAAGCAUGGGUCGUAAAGAGGAGAAUAGCUCAUUAUUUUGGACAUUUUCUCUUUUUGGAAGGGCAGUUUGGAGGACAUUGCCGUUUCAACUUCUUCUGAACAGUCCAACAUCAGAGCAGAAAACAAACGGUAGUAUUUAUGCUCGCAAAUGUCUUAAAAAAAGAAGAAAAAAAAAGAAAAAGCAAUAUGCUGCACAACUAGAGUGAUUUCAUUUUUGUGGAGGUAGUAGGUGCCCUCUCUGCUAGGAUUUAGGGAAAAGAUUGCCAAGUGAGAGAUGAAGGAGGGAGGAAAAACGAAGUAAACGGGAGGGAAUUUGGGGUAUUUAAAAUCAGAAAAUGUUGUUUAUGUAUAUUUUAAAAAUUGAUUAAACUCUGCGACUUGUGGGUGAAACCAGUGUUUGACCGUAAUUUGCCAAGGGAUACUUGAGAAGCAAUGCCAAGGUUUGUUCCUGUAUAUUUUGUGUAUGGUCAAUAAAAUAUAUUCACUUACAAC